AUUGAACGCUGGCGGCAUGCCUUACACAUGCAAGUCGAACGGCAGCACGGGGGCAACCCUGGUGGCGAGUGGCGAACGGGUGAGUAAUGCAUCGGAACGUGCCCAGUAGUGGGGGACAACCAGUCGAAAGAUUGGCUAAUACCGCAUACGACCUAUGGGUGAAAGCGGGGGACCGUAAGGCCUCGCGCUAUUGGAGCGGCCGAUGUCUGAUUAGCUAGUUGGUGAGGUAAAAGCUCACCAAGGCGACGAUCAGUAGCUGGUCUGAGAGGACGACCAGCCACACUGGGACUGAGACACGGCCCAGACUCCUACGGGAGGCAGCAGUGGGGAAUUUUGGACAAUGGGCGCAAGCCUGAUCCAGCCAUGCCGCGUGCGGGAAGAAGGCCUUCGGGUUGUAAACCGCUUUUGGCAGGAACGAAACGGCGACUUCUAAUACGAGUCGUUAAUGACGGUACCUGCAGAAUAAGCACCGGCUAACUACGUGCCAGCCGCCGCCGUAAAAC
rnacentral:rRNA from 1 species